rnacentral:rRNA from 1 species
GACGAACGCUGGCGGCGUGCUUAACACAUGCAAGUCGAACGGAAAGGCCCUGCUUUUGUGUGGUGCUCGAGUGGCGAACGGGUGCGUAACACGUGAGUAACCUUCCCUUGCCUUUGGGAUAACUUCAGGAAACUGGUGCUAAUACCGGAUAGGAGCUCCUGCUGCAUGGUGGGGGUUGGAAAGUUUCCGCGGUUGGGGAUGGACUCGCGGCUUAUCAGCUUGUUGGUGGGGUAGUGGCUUACCAAGGCUUUGGCGGGUAGCCGGCCUGAGAGGGUGACCGGCCACAUUGGGACUGCGGUACGGCCCAGACUCCUACGGGAGGCAGCAGUGGGGAAUAUUGCACAAUGGGCGGAAGCCUGAUGCAGCAACGCCGCGUGCGGGAUGACGGCCUUCGGGUUGUAAACCGCUUUCGCCUGUGACGAAGCGUGAGUGACGGUAAUGGGUAAAGAAGCACCGGCUAACUACGUG